rnacentral:rRNA from 1 species
GUCUACGGCCAUACCACCCUGAACGCGCCCGAUCUCGUCUGAUCUCGGAAGCUAAGCAGGGUCGGGCCUGGUUAGUACUUGGAUGGGAGAAGUGGAGUCAGGGCAAUGCAUCCC